rnacentral:rRNA from 1 species
CGACAGCAAUAGUGAAGGGUCAGGCUGAAGACCUUACCCGAUUAGCUGAGAGGUGGUGCAUGGCCGUCGUCAGUUCGUACUGUGAAGCAUCCUGUUAAGUCAGGCAACGAGCGAGACCCACGUCCACAGUUGCCAGCAUACCCUCCGGGGUGAUGGGUACACUGUGGAGACCGCCGCUGCUAAAGCGGAGGAAGGAGUGGGCAACGGUAGGUCAGUAUGCCCCGAAUCUCCCGGGCUACACGCGGGCUACAAUGGUUGGUACAAUGGGCAUCUACCCCGAAAGGGGAAGGAAAUCUCUUAAAGCCAAUCGUAGUUCGGAUUGAGGGCUGCAACUCGCCCUCAUGAAGCUGGAAUCCGUAGUAAUCGCGUUUCAACAGAACGCGGUGAAUACGUCCCUGCUCCUU